CCCUUUUUGGCCCCAAAAUAUAGCAGUUUUACAAAAUUGUUAAAAUGUAAACCUUUAGUUAUUUAUUGUACAGUAGAAUGCUUCUGCUACAUAAAUAUGGGCUGUUUUUGACAAUACAAUGCACAUAUAUCAGGUACUAGCACCAUUAAGUCAUGCUAAAUUACUGAAAUCUUCGCAAUUCUAUCAUUUUAGUUAAAUUUUAGACGCUUUUCGUGUGAAACGAAAGUGGCCGCAUUCGUGUUCAUCCUUAAUAUUGAAAUGUAAG
rnacentral:lncRNA from 1 species